rnacentral:rRNA from 1 species
GACGAACGCUGGCGGCGUGCUUAACACAUGCAAGUCGAGCGGUAAGGCCCUUUCGGGGGUACACGAGCGGCGAACGGGUGAGUAACACGUGGGUGACCUGCCCUCAGCUCUGGGAUAAGCCUGGGAAACCGGGUCUAAUACUGGAUAUGACUCCAUGACGCAUGUUGUGGGGUGGAAAGCCUUGUGCGGCUGAGGAUGGGCCCGCGGCCUAUCAGCUUGUUGGUGGGGUGAUGGCCUACCAAGGCGACGACGGGUAGCCGGCCUGAGAGGGCGACCGGCCACACUGGGACUGAGACACGGCCCAGACUCCUACGGGAGGCAGCAGUGGGGAAUCUUGCGCAAUGGGCGAAAGCCUGACG